rnacentral:lncRNA from 1 species
GGGCAUCCGGAGUGGCUAGAAAUUGACUUUGUCCUUGAUUUAGGAUUGAUGUGGGAUUUAGGUUUAUGGUCAGGGCGGAAGGGAGUUCUAAGAAAGGGGAGCAGCAUGAGCGAAACUAAAAGCAAGGAUUUGCAAGCCAUGUUUGGGGAGGAGUGAGUUGUUUGGUAGGCUGGGAGGAAGAGAGUUUUAAGAAGAGGGGACUAGCCCACUCUGUGAAGGGCUGCGGAGAUAUGGAGGUAGGAGAAAUGAGGAAAAGUGAUUGGAUUUGGCUACCCAGGAUUGCUUUGUGAGCUAUGAAAGUGCUGCUUGAGUGGAGGAGUGGAGAGGGCACAAGCCACGUUGUAAGAUAUUACAGAGUGAUGAAUGGGGAAGUGCAAAUGCUGGCCCAUAAGCCCUUCCGCCUUGGUUGUUAGCAGUGAAAUGAGAAAUACAAAGUUAACACCAGGUGUUUAUCGUAAGCCUAAUUUUAUUUACUCUUAAUAGCCAUACCAUAAUGUGAGAUUAUAGUCUUUUUUGGUUUAAAAAUACCAUUUGAGGGAGUUCCCGUCGUGGCUCAGUGGUUAAUGACUAGGAAGCAUGAGGUGUGGGUUUGAUCCCCGGCCCAGUGCGGUGGGUUAGGGAUCCAGUAUUGCUGCAGCUGUGGCGUAGGUUACAACUGGGGUUCAGAUUCAGUCCUUGGACUGGGACCUUCCACAUGCCCCGGGUGUGGCCAAAACAAACAAACAAAAAAUUGGAAACUCUUUGUUCUAUAAGCUGUUUAAAACAAAGGUAAGUGGUUCAGCCAGCAAAAUCAAGUUUAUUCGGGAAGAGCAGAAGACUUACAGAAGACACAUAAACUGUGGUGAACAAAAGUCCAUUGGAGGAGAGUGAUUGUCGUGGCUCCUGAUUGGCUGAAUUGCUAUGACUUGUCAUUGGCUGGGCUGUUGCUGGGAGAGCAGAAAAUCUUCUUUCCCUUGCUGGGGUGUGUAAAACAAGCCUCUUCCUGUUGGGGAGAUACAGGGUAUGGCCUUGGUUGGUGGUGAGUGAGAGCUCUCCUUUCAGGGCCUCCCAACUCCAUUUUAAAUGGGAUUUCCUUUAUUCAUUUUCACAGGUCAUUGCCCUUGAAACCUUGCUUGUUUUUAUUUGUACUUAUAUUUAAUAUUUUUAACUGAGGUACAUAUAUAAUUUUUCAGAUUCCUUUCCCUUACAGAUCAUUACAAAAUAUUGGUAUAGUUCCCUGUGCUAUAUACAAGAGGGUGCUUGUUGGUUAUCUCUUUUAUAUGUAGAGGUGAAUAUUUGUUAGUUCCAAUCUCCUAAUUUAUCCACCCCUCUUCGUGGUAACCAUAACUUUGUUUUCUGUUUCUGUGGAUCUGUUUCUGUUUUGUAAAGAAGUUCAUCUGUAUCUUUUUUUUUUAGAUUCCACAUAUAAGUGAUAGCCUAUGAUGUUUGUCUUUCUCUGUCUGACUUACUUUGCGUAACAUGAUCAUCUCUAAUUUUUGUUUUACUGAUUGGUGAAGUUCAAAUGGCAGGGACCAAAAUGACAAGGGAGAGUUACAGCUGUUCUUUUAAAGCGUUAGCUCUCCUAGUGCUUUUGACUGGCAUUCAGUGUAUUCACAUUUUCAGGAUCAUUGCAUGUGUGUGAAGUAAGACUCACUUUUGUUCUCAAGCGGAGAUUGAGUAUCACUGAGGAUUAUUGAGAAAGCAAGUUGGAGACUUAGAUUUGAUGGCCGUAAAGCAGGCAGAACAUUCUCCAUUUGAGUCCUAGGCCUCUCUUGUUUGGGGGGGAGUGUUCUUCUUGUGGCUCAGCUGAGCCUUCUAUUCUAGCUGCACAUGGUACUUUCUGUCCUUUCUGACCCUGAAGGUGAAAGAUCUUUUUACUUAAAACUGCAGAUCUGAGAUGUAGAUAUAAGUGAAACAUUCCCAUUUAUUCUUUCUGGUAGUUAUUUUAAUGUCUAAAGGUCAGAGUUGCAAACAUCUUAAAUGCAAAGCAUUUAAUUUCCACUAGAGUUAAAGGUCUCUAAGCGUGUAUUAGAACCAGUAAAAAUGACGAUGUUUAAAGCAGCCAAAUUCUAUUUCUUAUAUGACUAUUUUAUAUGAAAUACACAGGCAGAAAAAUCUAUAUGUUUAUCCAACUUUAUGUCCAGUGGCUAUUGGAAGCUUGUCUUCUUGGGUUAUUAUAUGAAUAAUUCCUGUGUGUGUAUAUAUAUAUAUCUCCCCAAAUUACAAAAAGAAUUACAUGUAUUGUUUUUAGGGCUUGUUUUGUAGACUAAAUAUGCUGGCUAAAUCUUGCUAAUAUAGGCAUUUCCUGAAUUACUAACACCCUACAGACUUGCUAUAAAUAAGAUUGUGUGGGCUGUGCUGUGCUGAGAAAGUGGCUAGGUUCUACCUUGGGGCAAGAAAUGGUGUUUCUGGGAGCUGCCUUGCCCUAGUAUUAGUACUGAAGUACGUAGUGCCUUCUAGUAGAUUGUCUUAACAGAGAGUUUCCUGAUGGCUCAGCAGGUUAAGGAGUUGGCAUUGUCACUGCUGUGGCGAGGGCUGCUGCUGUGGCAAGGGUUUGAUCACUGGCCUGGAAACUUCCUUAUGCUGUGGAUGCAGCCAAAAAAAAAAAAAAGAGAGAGAGAGACAGAAUGUCUUAACAGACCUCGACUUAACUAGUUGGCUGCAUUAAUCAGAGCCGAUUAUUUGCUCUCCGACUGAUGACACAGCAUGCUGAUAGCGCAUGGUUAGAAAGCUGGUACCGUCUCCUACCAGGAAGGGAUCAGUUAAGAGUCUGUUGAUGUCUGUCUGAUUUGUUAUUGUGAUUUCUUCAUUUAUUGAGAUAUUAUAUAAACCAUUUGAAUAUCAGUGCAAACAUUUACACAAAGGAAUCUG